AUAUAAGUGACGAGUCCCAAAUGGAACGAAACGCAUGUCCUGGAU
rfam:Schistosoma curassoni strain Dakar, Senegal genome assembly, scaffold: SCTD_contig0000387